rnacentral:lncRNA from 1 species
UUCUUGAUGAAUAUUGAUGCAAAAAUCCUCAAAAAAACAAACAAACAAAAAAAACAACUUGCCAACUGAAUCCAGCAGCACACCAAAAAGCUUUUUUAAAUUAAGGUAUAUGCACUUUUUAUAUAUAUCUAAAAUGCAUAUAUGUAUAUAAAUGUUCCAGGCUUACCUGGAAUCAAAAUUUAUCAUGUCCCUAAAUGUGUCUGAUUGAAGUAUAAUACCAAUUCCUACUAUUAAUGUAUAAAUCUAGAUACUAGUUUGGCAAGAGCCAGGGUAAAAUGUGGUUUGCUAUUGUUUUACAAGACUUCAUUAAGAUGACCCCAUUUGUUCUCAUGGCCUAGUGAGGCAUCAGGAAACUGAUUGGUAUGAAGAAUCAACAAUGAACAAUUCAUAAAAAACUACGUCUUCAUGGAGCUUACAUUCUAGUUGGGAGAAAGAGGAACAAAUAAAACAGAAUGAAAUAAAUCAGAAGGUCUGAUUGAGAUCUCAGUUUAAAAGCCUGAAAGUCUAAGAGACUAUGAUAUCCAUUUAGGAGACCUGAACAUCUUACAUAUUUUGGAACUUUUCUGGGGACCAAAGUGAUCCAGACCCAGGUGUUUUGUUGCCAUUGCUUUUGGAGUUUUAGUCACAAAGUCUUUGCCCAUGCCUAUGUCCUAAAUCAUAUUGCCUAGUUUUUCUUCUAGGGUUUUUAUGGUUUCGGGUUUUACAUUUAAGCCUUUAAUGCAUCUUGAGUUAAGUUUUGUAUAAGGACACACUUCUUUUUCUUCUAUUUUCUAUUUUCAUUUUGGAAAUCUGAAGGCUGUUUUUUCUGCUCUCAUUCUAGUUUCAUAUUCUGAUAUACUCAGCAUUCCCAAGGCUUGAAAAACAUAUGAAAAUUGUUCAAAUGUUAAAAAUUUUUUAAAGUAACAUAUCUCUAUUCAGGGAUAAAAGUCACCCAGUAGAAGCAACCCUUCAUUUGCUCCUCCACCAAGAGACUGUCAAUGUCUUCUCCAAGGAAUAUUUCCCUGCCCCUGAGAUGUGGCACACUGAAAAGAAUAUAGAAAAAACAUGCAAGUAGUUCCUCCCAUUCUUCUGGGAAGAAACAUGAUUUUUGUUUUAUGGUGAGUCUGUGAUGGACAGGGAGUAUUUUCUAAAAUUGACCCAAGGCUGGGCACAGUGCCCCACACCUGUAAUCCCAGCACUUUAGGCAGCCAAAACAGAAGGAUCACUUGAGCCCAGGAGUUCAAGACCAGCCUGGGCAACACAGGGAGACCGCAUCUCUAAAAAAUAAAAAAUAAAAAUAAAACUGACCCAGGGAGCUACACCUGAUUUCCAGGUGGAUUAAAAAAAAAAAAAAAAAGGUUCUUUCUGAUUUUAGGUUCCAAAACAUUGUCAAGUUAAAAUGGAUGUUUCAUUAAAAAAAAUUCUCAUUCCCCUUUGACCACUGAUUCAAUAUCUAUGACUAAAACUACUUACACAGUGAUAGGCGCUCCCUAAAUUUAAUUGUUCAAUAAAUACUAACUAGCACUGAGUUGGUGUCAAGCAUUGUUCUUGGCACUGGAGGUAGAGCCAGAGGCAGAGUCUGAGGAAGGCAAGACCACCUGAAUGAUGAGGCUAGCCCAGCAGCACUCCCUGAAAAACCAAUGAUUUUGCUUUUCAAGGUCAAAGAAGACAAGGUGUUGGGGCACUUUUGUCUUCCAUAACAAUUUUCAUACACGUGGAAGUCUGUAGCUUGUUUUAACAAGAAGCCUCAGAAACAAUGGCUUCAUUGAAUGUCUUCCUCUGAGAAAGUCUACACCAAUCUCUACAUUACGAAUUCUUUCUGACUUGGUUGCUUAAGUAUUCUUUAGUUUAACUUUAAAUAGGUAAUACUUUCACAUGGUUCAAGUUUUUUUUAAGUACUUAAUAAAAUGCAUUCCUUCAAUUCAUUCUACCCAAUGCCUCCCUACUCACCCAAAGAAUACUCCUUCUCUUUCAAGGUAUAAUGGUAUAACCACUGUUAUUGUAUAUCUUUUAGAGUUUCUUGAUUCAUACACAAAUGAAUGAAAAUAUAUUUGUCAUUUUUCUAUCUCCUUUUUUUUUUUUACAAAAAAAAGCAUUCAUACAUACUAUUCUGUUUUCACU